rnacentral:rRNA from 1 species
CCUACGGGUGGCAGCAGUGAGGAAUAUUGGUCAAUGGGCGCGAGCCUGAACCAGCCAAGUAGCGUGAAGGAUGACUGCUCUACGGUUUGUAAACUUCUUUUAUAAAGGAAUAAAGUGAGCCACGUGUGCCUUUUUGCAUGUACUCUAUGAAUAAGGAUCGGCUAACUCCGUGCCAGCAGCCGCGGUAAUACGGAGGAUCCGAGCGUUAUCCGGAUUUAUUGGGUUUAAAGGGAGCGUAGAUGGGUUGUUAAGUCAGUUGUGAAAGUUUGCGGCUCAACCGUAAAAUUGCAGUUGAUACUGGCAGUCUUGAGUGUAGUUGAGGUAGGCGGAAUGCGUGGUGUAGCGGUGAAAUGCAUAGAUAUCACGAAGAACUCCGAUUGCGAAGGCAGCUUACUAAGCUGCAACUGACAUUGAUGCUCGAAAGUGUGGGUAUCAAACAGGAUUAGAUACCCUAGUAGUC